AAGAUAUUCCUCAUGGUUUUAUCUUUGCAACUUUUAUGUUGGCGUCAAUAUUGGGAAGCUCAUUUGCAUCUCGCCUUAUGACCCGUAACUCACUUAAGGUUGAGAGCUACAUGCAAGUUGUAUUUGUUAUCUCCUCUGCAGCUCUCCUGCUACCAAUUGUGACGAGGUUCUUCAUAGCUCCUUCAAAUGUGAAAGGAGGAGGCAUUACAUUUGCUGGCUGUAUAUUGCUUCUUGGCUUCUGUACAUUUGAGGCUUGUGUGGGGAUCUUCUGGCCAUCCAUAAUGA